rnacentral:rRNA from 1 species
CGACCGUCCCAGUUCAGAUUGCAGUCUGCAACUCGACUGCAUGAAGUCGGAAUCGCUAGUAAUCGCGGAUCAGCAUGCCGCGGUGAAUACGUUCCCGGGCCUUGUACACACCGCCCGUCACACCAUGAGAGUCGGGAACACCCGAAGUCCGUAGCCUAACCGCAAGGAGGGCGCGGCCGAAGGUGGGUUCGAUAAUUGGGGUGAAGUCGUAACAAGGUAAC